rnacentral:rRNA from 1 species
UACGAAGGGGGCUAGCGUUGCUCGGAAUCACUGGGCGUAAAGGGUGCGUAGGCGGGUCUUUAAGUCAGGGGUGAAAUCCUGGAGCUCAACUCCAGAACUGCCUUUGAUACUGAAGAUCUUGAGUUCGGGAGAGGUGAGUGGAACUGCGAGUGUAGAGGUGAAAUUCGUAGAUAUUCGCAAGAACACCAGUGGCGAAGGCGGCUCACUGGCCCGAUACUGACGCUGAGGCGCGAAAGCGAGGGGAGCAACAGG